AAUUAUGACUGUUAGCUGGGCACAGUGGCUCACACCUGUAAUCCCAGCGCUUUAGGAGGCCGAAGUGGGCCUCAAAGCAACAGAGAUCAAUGUUUGAUUUUAAGUGGACUUGGCUUUCAGGUGGAGCAAGUGUGACAGUGUCACAUAAAUCCAUGUGAGGAAGAAACCGCAGCACGUGCUUCCACUGAGAGAUAACUGCUGCUUGCAACAUGGAGACGAGGAUGUCCUGUUGGAACUAAAUAUGGAAAGUUCCCAGAAGACCGUCCAUCACUCUGAUCAAGCAUUAGGCUUGUUGUAAGUGGCAGUGUGCAUUAGGUCAUCUUAUCUUCACAACAUCACCAGGAAGUGAGGACUGUCAUUACUCCGAUUUACCAUUGAGGAAACGGAACCCAGGAGAGGGUAAACGGCACACCCAAAGUCAUCCAGCCAGUGCUGCCAAGCCGGGACUCAAACCCAGAUCUGCCCAACACUAGAGCCACUGACACUGCUUCAUCGUGGGCAACAAAACCCUUUUAAUUCAAGUGUUAUCAAUUUAGGAUCUGACAUAUUUUGGAUAAAAUAUAAAAAGAUCACAGGAGGCAGUGUUAAAAUGAUAUAUGAGAAUAAAUUCAAAACACUUCAAAGUC